GCACAAUGUUCUGUGGGCCACUCUAGAUGGACAUGCCAUGUCACUCUGGAAAAAGCGCACAGACAAAUUCACAGAAUAUAUUUUUCACGUAACAAGCAUCACCAACAUACGUGAGCAGGAUCAAGGACGCUUCUCCAUCCAUUUUCAGAAGAAGCACUUUGAGUUUAUGGCUCACAGUGAGGCUGUGCGGCAGAGCUGGUUGAUGUCUCUCUACGCCAUUCGUGGUAGGGAACCGAUCACUGCACCCAAACAACACGGACCGCUG